rnacentral:rRNA from 1 species
UACGGAGGAUGCGAGCGUUAUCCGGAUUUAUUGGGUUUAAAGGGUGCGCAGGCGGCACGGCAAGCCGGCGGUCAAAUCGCGGGGCUCAACCCCGCCCAGCCGUCGGAACUGCCGGGCUAGAGUGGGCGAGAAGUGCGCGGAAUGUGUGGUGUAGCGGUGAAAUGCAUAGAUAUCACGCAGAACUCCGAUUGCGAAGGCAGCGCACCGGCGCCCUACUGACGCUCAGGCACGAAAGCGUGGGUAUCGAACAGG